rnacentral:rRNA from 1 species
AUUGAACGCUGGCGGCAGGCCUAACACAUGCAAGUCGAGCGGAUGAAGGGAGCUUGCUCCUGGAUUCAGCGGCGGACGGGUGAGUAAUGCCUAGGAAUCUGCCUGGUAGUGGGGGAUAACGUCCGGAAACGGGCGCUAAUACCGCAUACGUCCUGAGGGAGAAAGUGGGGCAUCUUCGGACCUCACGCUAUCAGAUGAGCCUAGGUCGGAUUAGCUAGUUGGUGGGGUAAAGGCCUAACAAGGCGACGAUCCGUAACUGGUCUGAGAGGAUGAGCAGUCACACUGGAAGUGAGACGAGGUCCAGACUCCUACGGGAGGCAGCAGUGGGGAAUAUUGGACAAUGGGCGGAAGCCUGAUCCAACCAUGCCGCGUGUGUGAAGAAGGUCUUCGGAUUGUAAAGCACUUUAAGUUGGGAGGAAGGGCAGUAAGUUAAUACCUUGCUGUUUUGACGUUACCAACAGAAUAAGCACCGGCUAACUUCGUG